rnacentral:rRNA from 1 species
GUCCUAGCCGUAAACGAUGGGCACUGGGUAGGGGGUGUUCCUAUGGCAUUCCCUGCCGUAGCCAAUGUGUUAAGUGCCCCGCCUGGGGAGUACGCUCGCAAGGGUAAAACUCAAAGGAAUUGACGGGGGCUCACACAAGCGGUGGAGCAUGUGGUUCAAUUCGAAGCAACGCGAAGAACCUUACCUGGCCUUGACAUGCACGGAUCAAUCCCCUGAAAGGGGGAGGACACCUCUUCGGAGGCGGAACGUGCACAGGUGUUGCAUGGCUGUCGU